AAUGAACGUUGGCGGCGUGGAUUAGGCAUGCAAGUCGUACGGGUCGGUGUAGCAAUACAACGGCAAGUGGCGAAAGGGAGAGUAACACGUAGAUACCUACCCUCUGGUCGGGGAUACCGCGGCAUAACCGCAAGUAAUACCCGAUAAAAUCUCCGGAUCAAAGGUGUGAUUCCGCCGGAGGAGGGGUCUGCGUUCUAUCAGCUUGUUGGUGAGGUAAUGGCUCACCAAGGCUAAGACGGAUACGGGGUGUGAGAGCAUGCCCCCGCUCACUGGGACUGAGACACUGCCCAGACACCUACGGGUGGCUGCAGUCGAGAAUCUUCGGCAAUGGGCGCAAGCCUGACCGAGCGACGCCGCGUGCGGGAUGAAGGCCUUCGGGUUGUAAACCGCUGUCGAGGGGAAUGAAGUGUAGGUGGGUACUCCCAUCUAUUUGACAGAUCCCUGGAGGAAGCAUGGGCUAAGUUCGUGCCAGCAGCCGCCGUAAAAC
rnacentral:rRNA from 1 species